GUGCCAGCAGCCGCGGUAAGACGAACCGUGCGAACGUUAUUCGGAAUCACUGGGCUUAAAGCGCGUGUAGGCGGGCCGGCACGUCGGUCGCUGAAAGCCCCCGGCUCAACCGGGGAAGCGGCGCCGAUACGACCGGCCUGGAGGGGGGUAGGGGGCGCCGGAACGGCCGGUGGAGCGGUGAAAUGCGUUGAGAUCGGCCGGAACGCCCGUGGCGAAAGCGGGCGCCUGGACCCCGCCUGACGCUGAGACGCGAAAGCCAGGGGAGCGAACGGGAUUAGAUACCCGCGUAGUCC
rnacentral:rRNA from 1 species